rnacentral:sRNA from 1 species
UUCAGAUUUGGUUCAAAAUUCGUGUAGUAAGCACAUACAAAAUUGUGUAAAAAACUUACAUUAUUUUUUUGUUAGGUGUUCUCCUCCUAAAAGCCGCUCAGCACACACAAAAUAUAACCAAAUUUCAACGAAUAAUAUAUUCUGAUAUUGCCCGAAGAGCUUUGAUUUCACCUAUCUCUUAAACAAUAUGUGCUGUGGUCCGGCUGGAUGGUGUUCAUUCUGUGGCCCACCGUGUGGCGGACCCUGUUGUCAAUCCUGUUGUGUUGAGAUGUGUUUCUCGCCCUGCACCCCGGCGUUUUUGCAAUGUUCCUUCUGCUGUGGCUGUUAAACGACGGCAGACCUGAUGGCCCCUGGCGUCGACUGUUGACUGCCGAAGAGCCGGUGGAUCAAACUGCUCCGAUCUGGUUCGAUCAGCAAGAUUAAUGCAGCAUUUCAAAAAUGUGGUAACAAAAAAAUAAUGUAAACAAAAAAAAAAAAAAAAAAAAAAA